CGAGUGGGGGAGGAGCAGAGAGCGAGGGAGACAGAAUCCGAAACAGGCUCCAGGCUCUGAGCUGUCAACACAGGGCCCAAUGAGGGGCCCGAUCUCGCAAACCUUGAGAUGGUUAUCUGAGCCAAAGUCCGACGCUUAACCAACGGAGCCACACUGGUGCCCCUGGAAUUGGUUAUAGUGCAUCGUUCCUGAUUCAAAGUCCCUGACAGAAGCAUCAGACUGUGCCCCAGCUUCCAGGUGUCAGGGAGGGAGCAACUAGCUAGCAUCCUUUCCCUGGAAUUUACACAACAGUAAAUUCUAUGAAUUUAAGAAGGGGCUUCAGAUGCCAGGCCGCCUGACACUGACAAAUAUCACACUUUCCUGUCUUCAUCUUACCCUAUUGCCCCCAAACUGGAGUCUUUCUCUCACUCCCCUUACCCAACCCAUCAACAGUUCUAUGAUAUAUCCUGAAACUGUGCACUUGCUUGUGUCACUGCUACACCCUAGACCCAAGCCACCAUCAUCUCUCAAUCUCUUACUGCUUGUUUCUUCUCUUUGCUAUCACUCUCCUCUCUCCACACUCACAAUCCAUCCUGUCCACAGAAGCCAAAGUCAUCUUUUAAAAAAAAGAUAAACUGCUAUAUAAUUUCUUCAGCCUCUUCUCUUCAGCCUGCAUUUCUUCAGUUCUCUUCUCUAGCAACACUGAGGACUUGAUUGCUGUCUUAGGAUCUUUGCACUUGCCAUUUUCUCUUUGUGGAGUGCUCCUCAUCCAUAUUUGACUUGAGUGGUUAUUUUUUUGUCAUUUCACUUGUCUGCUCAAAUGCCACUUCAGAGGCUGCCUCUGAAAACCCAAUCAGUAGCCUGCCUUGAAAACUGGGGGAGGAAGAAGGUAGAGAUUUGUCGCUUGGAACAAGUACCAAAUAGUUAUGGUACUAUUUGAUUAAACGAUGGACAGUUAUAACUUUAGAAAAUGUUCACCUUUAAACCAAAUUUAGGAAGAAAAACUAAAAAAGCAUAUCUGCACCCUUACAUAUCUAGUUCACUGCAUCUGCCUAAGAUUUAUAACAGAAGAUGUUCAGUUAAUUAUUAAUAAAUGAAUGAAUACAAAAAGAUUCUCAGAGAAUGGUUGCCCUUUUGUCAGGAAAAGAUGAAGGGCCAUGAGAUGCAAUGUGUAUGUAAUUAUUCAAAUAUUUACUGCUGAGUAGUAAUUGUGGUUAAGAAAGUUAUCUUUUUUUUUUUUAUGACUGUGUUUCUUGUGGAAGGAGGAACAGCCUUGGGAAAAUUAGUAACUUAAAAAUUUAGUGGGUUGAUAAAUUUUAGGCAAUAGUUUUUUUGUUAUUUUGUUUUUUUUUUUUUUUGCUGCAGAAUUGCAAUGUUUCAAUAGAAACAAUUGUUUAAAUAUUAUGUAUAUGAAAAAAGUGUUUCUCACCAUAAGGAAGGUUGGUCUCUGAGAGAGCUUUUGUUAAAAUGGGUCAUUUAUUUGUUUACAGAAAUCAUGAGCAAAAAAAAUCCUGAUUCAUUUUAGUGUGCACUUUUUGCUAGAACUGGAAAAACCUAUUUUCCAUUUUAGUAAAAGAAAAUGUUUUCAUAAAGUUGAAUGAACCCUAUAAAUAAGACUCUUAUUAGAAAGAAUAGCAGAGACAAUUUGGGGGGACAGAUACUACAUUUAAUGUUUUUUAUCUUUCUCAAUGUCAGGUGUUUGUUUUAAGCAAGUGAGAAAAAUUCCUACAUACUUCCCCUGGAUGGGGUUAACUUAAUCCUUAUCUGUUUGAUAAGGCCACUGGCAUGCUUUUAAGUCAUUUGAGUUAAUCUGGGUUUUUUGUUGUUGUUUUGCUUAACGGAGGUAUUUAUGAAGUGAAAACUUGGUGUUGGCCUCAACAUUCUACAUACUUCUUUGACUGGAAACUCCUCUAAGGAGAGUUUAAAAUUCCAACUUCAGAAAAAUACAAUGACCAUUAAAUUCAGAAAAGGGAAAGUGCCUCACAUUCAAGACAUUUUUGUGAAAGUUAGGAGAGACUGCAAGCCUGCAGCUCACUUUUUCUCAUAGCUGCAGAUACUGAACAGUGACCCCUUGUUCUUGACCUUUGUUCAAGAAAAGGGCUGCAGGUUGCCAACAUUUGCAGUCUCUUUUUGACUAACUUUCCCCUGCCCUGUAGCCAUUGUAAUGCUCACGUUUUAACCUAAGGGCAAAUUUGAAUCAUUAGGUAAGUGACAACAGCUUGUCUAAACUGGUAGAUAAGAAAUGUCAAAGCAUAAGGUGCCAUCUGUCCCAGGUUAUGGAUCUAUGUUUGAUCUGUACUCAGUGUCAAAACUCACCUGUAAAGUCAACCAAACGAUAAAGGAAGGCAUGUUAGUAUCUUUUUCCAUUGACAUCAUUCGUUAUGAACGUUUUCAAAUGUAAAGAAAAGUUGAAAAUUAUGCAGUGAAUGCCCAUGUAUCUACCAGCUAGAUUCUAUAAUUGUAAGCCUUUUGUUAUAUUAGUUUGAUCAUAUAUCCAUCUAUCCACCAUUAUCUGUCUUAAUUUUUGGUACGUUUUAAUGUAAGUCACAGACUUCAGUUUACUUCACUGUAAGUGUCAUUUUGGAAGCCAAAAAAAAAAAAAAUUGGAGAUGAACUUGUGUGAUUAUAAUUAACUCCUAAAAGAGUCACAAAAUAUGUGAAUUUACCACAAAACCUAGAUUUCAUCAUGGUUAGAGAGAUCUAACAUGGCUAUUAAUAGCCUCUAAAUUAAUGUAUAUUUUGGGUAUCUUUUGAUCUUUUCCAUAUGACUUUUAGCUAUCACAGACUACUAUCAUUCACAGACAACCUUCAGAAUUUCUAUCAUAUUCAAGUACCAUGUGUAAUAUUUUCUUAUUCUAAAAAAUUUUAUUUUCAGUUAAAUUUAUUUUUAGAGUACAACUUCAUAUUGCUACCAUAAAUGGAAAACCAGUAUGAUUUGUCAUAAACAAGUUGGCCAUAUUUUUUUUUUCUAUACACAAAAAUAAGUUCAUAUUGUAUACCUUGGCUUGCAUACUAAGGGAAAUACCAAGUUAUAGCCCCCAUCCUUCCCCCUUUCCUUUCACAAAUAUUGGGGCACAAGAAAAGUCAAAUCUGCAUUGGAGGUUAGACACACAGAUGAUAUUAGGCUGUUCUCUUUUUAAGGGACAAAAACACUACAUCCAGACUUGCCUAAGUCUCAUCUUGAGCUAAUGGCGAGAGAAAGCAGGGUGAGGAAGGGUCUGUCUGAAGCCCAUCUGAGAUUGUGUCCCAAGUGGAACACAUUCCUCAUGAGCCCUGUGUUUGUCAACCCCAGCUGUUCUGCAGACCCCACACUGGCAGGAACAGAGCCAAAGCCUAAUCCUUGCAGCUUGAGGUUUGGGGACCUAUCAGAACCAUGGCUCUGGCCGUAUUUUCUUUUUCAUUUUGUUUCUUCUUAUUGUUUUAACCCUCUCCUACCAACCUAUCUUCCCCAACCCCCCUCUAUGUUAACAUAGGUGUGGUAGGAGACCAACAACAUACCUAUUUUUCCUUCCUGAAAUUAGAACCAAGACCUAGGAGCCAGACAUAUGGAGAUCAAAAUACCAGAUUUACCACAGAUGAAGUGACCAAAUGUCACAGGAUGAACUUUGGGACCCUUUGUCAAAUGGAACGGGAAAUAGAAGUGUGUAUUGGCAGCCAAAACCAACAUGCAAGGAUUUUCCAGGAGGUUAACUUCUCAGCUUGAGCCCCAGUGUGAACUGAAGAGCCCUUGGAGAGAACUCAUCCCAGAAAAGGGGGAGACAGCACAGUGCAUUGGCCUGAGUUCCAAAGCCUCGGAGUCCGAGAAAGUUAAACGAACCUCCAGAAGGUUGUGUGGGGUCUUUUCAUCUGCCUGGCACUGCUUAGUCCAUUUGCAGACACACAUGCCCCUGAGCUCCAGAAGUGGCCCUGAGUCUGCACCAGAACAGGAUAUUUUUCCCUCACAGCAUCUGCCCCAUGUUUCUCCAUCAGGAUGUUUGUCUAUAUGCUUACAAUUACUCAGGUGAGUCUUUGCACACUUCUUUUAAAACUAUUUAUAGUUCAAGUAAAUCCUACCACAGAAAAUUCCUAACCCUCUCUUUCUAAUUUCUAAUCCCUAA